AUGUAGCAAUGGGUUGCAAAGCAUGACAGAAAGGUCAUGACACACAGAAUCCCAGAGCUGACUGGGGAAGGUUCCAAACUGUUGAGGAGACUGUUGAACUCAUUUGGGGGUUUGCAACUGAGAUAGAAGCUCGAGGUUGCUGAUCUGUGCUCCUGUGGACAUCUCUGGAUCAUACUGCAAGCAGCCCUCUGGACAAUAGUGGAUAGGAGUGUCCCAAUUAUCCUUGGGUGGACUCGGGGAAAGAUUGGGAGCUCCAGUCAUUCUCUAGAUCAUCUAGGACUCCUCAUCUGGACCCCAGCCUCUACUUGCCAAAAGACUAUUUGAAACAGUGGACUUAAGAAAAUGACUAAUGAGAAAACCAAAGUUGAAUAGGAAAUGUUACAUUCAAACAAACUCAAGAGGAAUACAAAAAGAUCUUCAAGGAAAAACCUUGCUAACUCCUAAAUCCAGAGAAUGA
rnacentral:lncRNA from 1 species